GCGACCUUCAAUCUCACCUGGGCGUGCUCACUGGCAGCUGCUUGCAGGGCAUCUCCUGUGGCCGCCCUGCUGGACGGGUCCUCAGGCUUAAUAACAUCCCGCUGAAUGGACAGACCACACUGUGUUUAUUUAUUCACCGGUUGCCGGCCAUUCGGGUUGUUUCCACUUUUUGGCUACUGUGAACAGUGCUGCCAUGAACAGUUAUGUAGCUCUGUGGCGUGAAGGGACCACUGCGUGUCGAAGGACAGCUGGGCCCAGUGGCUGUGAAUCCUCAUGCACAGGUCUCCGCGUCAACCCAUCUGCA